ACAGUCAUCCGGGUGGUCGCGGGGCCUCAUCGCCUCGAGGAAAGUCCGGACUCCACAGGGCAGGGUGCUGGGUAACGCCCAGGCGGGGUGACCCGACGGAAAGCGCCACAGAAAAGAAAAGGCCGCCCGCUUGCGCGGGAGGUUGAGCUGAAACGGUGGUGUAAGAGACCACCAGCGGCCCGGUGACGGGUCGGCUUGGCAAGCCCCACCCGGAGCGAUGCCGAAUAGGGGAGGAGCGGUGGCCCGCCGCGCUCGACUCCCGGGUUGGCAGCAUGAGGCGCGCGGUGACGCGCGUCCCAGAUAGAUGGCCACCACCGCUUUCGCGGUACAGAAUCCGGCUUACAGGAUGUCUGUCCCC
rnacentral:RNase_P_RNA from 1 species